rnacentral:rRNA from 1 species
UACGUAGGGGCGUAGCGUUAUCCGGAUUUACUGGGCGUAAAGGGUAGCGUAGGUGGUUUCUUAAGUCAGAGGUGAAAGGCUACGGCUCAACCGUAGUAAGCCUUUGAAACUGGGAAACUUGAGUGCAGGAGAGGAGAGUGGAAUUCCUAGUGUAGCGGUGAAAUGCGUAGAUAUUAGGAGGAACACCAGUUGCGAAGGCGGCUCUCUGGACUGUAACUGACACUGAGGCACGAAAGCGUGGGGAGCAAACAGGAUUAGAUACCCUGGUAGUCCCUGAG